CACGGUCCAGUUCCCAACAGUCAAUCUACUCUCCCUUUCACCAGUCACCCACUACGUCGUCCUACUCCCUCUCGGCUCUCCCUCUAUAUUCUCGCCUUGUCUUCUCCGCCACCGCCGCCUCGCCGGAUUCCACCAAAAACAAACAUAAGUAAACCCACCCGCUGAAACAGUCAUCAUCAAUCAAAUAUAUUACUUUUAUGGUAUGAACACAAAAAGUUACUGAUAUGCUAGCUUUUGGCCAAGCUCGACCAGUACACCUCGAAGACUCCAAAUGACUCCCCUUGACAUUUCACCAUUGCUGUGAUCCGGCAUCGACAUCCUCAGGAUAUAAUGCUCAACGACUUGUCUUGUACGGCGCUCUCAUUCUGU
rnacentral:lncRNA from 1 species